CUUUUGUCUCUGGCUCUAAUGGCAGCCGGUAAACCAAAUAGGCCAUCUGCUUGUUCGUACUUACCAAACUCCUCCCCUAUUAGAUCUAUCGUCGAUGAAUUAGGGAUCAACUUCUCAAGACAUGCAUGGUAUCCAACCCACCUCUGGAGCCAAAGUUUCCUGACUAGUGUUCUUGUAAAAUAAUCCCGGGUUCAAAAGAUGGUCUGCUGCAUGCAAAGGUCGAUGGAGUUGCUUGUCCCACCUUCUAUCAAUUAUCUCAAAAACUUUCUCAUAUUUCCUAACAUCUCCAUCAAAUGAUGCUGCAAUACUCUCUUUCACUCUAUCCAUAGCUUCAUAAAGAUAGCCCAUUGGUGGUUUUUCUCCCCAUCCACCAUAUGGAGCACCCGAAUCAAAGGAUCACCAACUUUAAAAGCCCGAACGACAUCAUUCCAGAAUGAUGGAGCAAUAAGAAUUUUGGCAACCUCUCUCCCCGCAGCUUCCUUUGCAUAUUUAUUAUCUUUCCAAUCAGUCNNN
rnacentral:lncRNA from 1 species